rnacentral:lncRNA from 1 species
AAUCCUGUUUGAAUGAAAAAACAAAAUAGAGCUCACUCAAUGGCCAAUAACUUCUUUUUCCCCCUUUUUUAUUAUAAUUUUUAUUAGAUAUUUCCUUUAUUUACAUUUCAAAUGUUAUCCCCUUUCCUAGUUUCCCCUCCUGUUUCACUCUUCUGGAAUCAGACUAUAUAAAUGCUAAACAAUACCAAUGUAGAAAAUGGUAUGUCUUAUCAGUAAAACACAUAGCUGUUACUCUUACCCUUUAAAAUGCUACUUACAGUAAAUCCCAUUGUAAUUAGCAUGUUUCUUCUUUCCUUGAACUUGAACCAAGCUGGAAAGUCUUACCCAUCACAUUUUCUUUUCUUUUCUUUUUCCUUUUCUUUUUCUUUUUCUUUUUCUUUUUCUUUUUCUUUUUCUUUCUUUCUUCUUCUUUUUUUGGUGUGUGUGUGUGGUUAUAAUUUCAGAAAUGCUGUAAACUGCUCCUGUUCUAGCUGUGUUAGUUUUGAUUUCAUACUCCCACUUCAUGAAAAUUACAGCACAAUUCACCAUUUGUAAUGCUAAUAGAAAGUACUUAUUCAUUCAACAUGUGGAUUUAGCUCCUACUAUGUACCAAGCAUUGUUCUAGAUACCGAAUAUAUAGCAGUGGGAAAGCAAUACAAAUUCCCCUAUUGCCUGUAGUUUAUGUUCUUGUGAACUUUCAGAUGUGCCACCUGGAGGAUCUGAUAACCAGGCAUUUGACCUGCCCUGGCAUACGUGGAAAAUAGCAGUCUUCCACUUCCAACAGAAAUUUCAUUCCUCUCUGUAGCCGUCUCAUCAUGUUCCUUCUGUAGCAUCUGCUGACAGUUAGAAUAUGCUAUGGUGAAUGUGAAAUGACUCCCACACUUAUGUAUCCGAUUGCCUGCUUCCCAUUCUCCAUAAAAAAUAAAGGGCAAAAGACUUGGGCAAAAAGAAGUUUAAAUAUGACUUAGAGCAUCCAGUUCUUACAGUAUAAAUAUUGUCUCUUCACCCACCCAUCUCUUGGACUGAAGUGUAUAUCUGUACAUGACCAUCAAGCUCCUGAGUCUCUUGAAGCUAGACUUCUUAGAAAGUCUUAUUCAAACGCUUUGGAUAUUUGCUAACUACCCACUAAGUGCCAUGCAGUUGGCACUCAGUGAUAAUCUCUAAUAUAGUCCAUCUAUUUUUUAUGUUAAGUCUGUAGGUGUAAAGAGAACAGCUCUUUCUCUUUGGUAGAGGAAUUUUAAUUCAGCAGCAUGGCUACUUUGGCAAGGGAUCACAUCUAAAAAUAUGAUCCAGCUGGAAUACAGACACGCCCUGGUUUACAGUAUAAUCUGGCUGAGAUAUGGCCACAUCCUUAGUAUACACCUUUAAUCCAUAACAAUGAAGGUAAGGUUAGUUUGUAGAAGAAGCAGCCAUGUUUGAAUGUGACAUCUAGUUGAGGGUCAGACAAAGUGAUGACUCAAAGAAAGAUAUAACAGAUGAGUCAGAGAUAGGAUAUGUCCAACUCACACAAGAAUAGCAGAGGAAGAGUGGAUACAUAAGAGCAGCAAGAGAGGAAAAAAAGGGUGGUGUGGUGUGGUAGGUGUAUAUCUGUACAUGACCAUCAUGUGGCAAUGUGGCAAUGACUUAUCCAAGAUCAAAAAACUUGCAAGAAAUCUCUUGGAAUGUGCAAACUGUUCUAUUGACCUCAUAAAUCCUGCCCUGUAGUGUCAGUUGGGGGUACUUCAUUCUUUAUUUGUCCAUUCAAGCAUGUAUAUUAUGCAUUCCAAGUAUUACAUGUACAAUAUCCUUGGUCUUACAGUAGCCAUAUUCAAUCAUCUUUCCUGUUAUUAUUCUCUUUUCAUUUGCAUCCUAAGAGAGAAGGAGAGGAAACUGUGUUGGUAGUAAAAUGUUCAUUCAAUAGAGUAAGACAAUCUAAAUUUCUAUGCCCAUUUUGGCAGUGGGAAUCUCAAGAAGUUUUGUAAUAUGCAUAAAUAUAAAGACAGUGCCAAAAUUCUAGACAUUUGAAUGAAUAAUUGAAUUAAUAUUUUAUGGCACAACUGGGUAGCAAAGAAAAUGCUUUCGUUUGGACUUGACUACAGGAAUUGAGUAGAAAGAAGUGUCUUUCCUGACCAUCUGGAAGCUUUUUAAUAUUCUGUUUCUGUUUGUUUUGUUUUCUUCUUAUUGUUUAUUCCUUUCUUAUUCAUUUUAUUUCGGGGGAUAAUACAAUAUAUUCAUCUUAUAUUGC